UACGAAGGGGGCUAGCGUUGUUCGGAAUUACUGGGCGUAAAGCGCACGUAGGCGGCACUGUAAGUUGGGGGUGAAAUCCCGGAGCUCAACUGCGGAACUGCCUUCGAGACUGCAGAGCUGGAGGAUGAGAGAGGUGAGUGGAAUUCCGAGUGUAGAGGUGAAAUGCGUAGAUAUUCGGAAGAACACCAGUGGCGAAGGCGGCUCACUGGCGCAUUUCUGACGCUGAGGUGCGAAAGCGUGGGGAGCAAACAGG
rnacentral:rRNA from 1 species